GGCCCCGUAGUGUAGUGGUUAUCACUCAAGAUUCUGAUCCGCGAUUUCUUGUAACCCAGGUUCGAAUCCUGGCGAGGCCU
rnacentral:tRNA from 2 species